rnacentral:rRNA from 1 species
GACGAACGCUGGCGGCGUGCUUAACACAUGCAAGUCGAACGAUGAUGCCCUGCUUGCAGGGUGGAUUAGUGGCGAACGGGUGAGUAACACGUGGGUGAUCUACCCUGCACUUCGGGAUAAGCCUGGGAAACUGGGUCUAAUACCGGAUAUGACCCUCCUUUAGUGUGGGGGGUGGAAAGCUUUUGCGGUGUGGGAUGAGCCUGCGGCCUAUCAGCUUGUUGGUGGGGUAAUGGCCUACCAAGGCGUCGACGGGUAGCCGGCCUGAGAGGGUGAUCGGCCACAUUGGGACUGAGACACGGCCCAGACUCCUACGGGAGGCAGCAGUGGGGAAUAUUGCACAAUGGGCGAAAGCCUGAUGCAGCGACGCCGCGUGGGGGAUGAAGGCCUUCGGGUUGUAAACUCCUUUCGCUAGGGACGAAGAUGUAUUUUGACGGUACCUGGAGAAGAAGCACCGGCUAACUACGUG